GGGAAACGUCACAAAACCAAAAUUUGACCAGUGAAACUUACACUUGAGUCGAACUCACGUUGAAUUAAUUUUUAUUAUGGUUUAGUUAAAAAUAGUAAAUCCUCUGUUAAUAAUGGACUCAGAAGGUACAAUAUGUUGCCCGGUGUUAGGAGGAUUGAGCACCACGAGUUCAAUCUAAGACUGCUCAAGUCUCUGUUUUACGCGGCGCGAAUCGUAGACGGCGUAGCUACGGAUAUGUAUCAUAGCCACGGCACACCUUCCUAUCAGUGGCAGAGGACUAUUUUGGGACAUACUUGUGUCGCAAGCAGGAUGUUACGACCACGGCGAGGGCGCGCCCAGUUUAAUGAAUUCCAUCAAAGCCUGGCUUACGGCACACGAAGAGGCGCAGGUGAUGCUAGCGAGUGUGCUUGUGGUGGUAGGCCUAUGGUGGCUUGUUCGCACCAUUCUGGCGCUGCUAAUCAAUCUCAUCUGCCCUUUGAUGGUCGUCCUGCUGGCCGUAUAUGGAUUCCAUUAUUCGACCGAUGGAAUUUCAACUCAGCCUCCUCAGUCUCCUCAACUUCCUCUUCCUGUCCCUAAUCCGCGCACCCAGUAUUAUUUGCGCACUAGAACCAUGGCAGAAUUGUCGUGAAAAUCUGGACUUGCAAUUAUGAAUGAUAAUGGUCCCUCAACUUCGAGGCCCAUUGUUGGGCCACAACUAUCCAGCGGUAGCCAACAUCAUGAGUAACAUCCUAACGAAGCUAGGCGAAAACAUCAAACCACACGAGCU